AUUGAACGCUGGCGGCAGGCCUAACACAUGCAAGUCGAGCGGAGCGGCGGACGGGUGAGUCAUGCCUAGGAAUCUGCCUGGUAGUGGGGGAUAACGUCCGGUAACGGGCGCUAAUACCGCAUACUAUCAGAUGAGCCUAGGUCGGCUUAGCUAGUUGGUGGGGUAAAGGCCUACCAAGGCGACGACCCGUAACUGGUCUGAGAGGCUGAUCAGUCACACUGGAACUGAUCCACGGUCCAGACUCCUACGGGAGGCAGCAUUGGGGAAUAUUGGACAAUGGGCGAAUGCCUGAUCCGGCCAUGCCCCGUGUGUGAAGAAGGUCUUCGGAUUGUAAAGCACUUUAAGUUGGGAGGCGUUACCAACAGAAUAAGCACCGGCUAACUUCGUGCCAGCAGCCGCGGUAAUAC
rnacentral:rRNA from 1 species